rnacentral:rRNA from 1 species
GUCCACGCCGUAAACGAUGAAUGCUAGCCGUUGGCGAGCUUGCUCGUCAGUGGCGCAGCUAACGCUUUAAGCAUUCCGCCUGGGGAGUACGGUCGCAAGAUUAAAACUCAAAGGAAUUGACGGGGGCCCCGCACAAGCGGUGGAGCAUGUGGUUCAAUUCGAAGCAACGCGAAGAACCUUACCAACUUUUGACAUGUCCCGUAUGGAUUCCAGAGAUGGAAUCCUUCAGUUCGGCUGGCGGGAACACAGGUGCUGCAUGGCUGUCGU